CAAGACAAAUCUUUAUAGUAAAGUAUAUCAUUUACACUGAUUUUUUAUUCUGUGCAAUUCAGGAUGUUUUGA
rnacentral:tRNA from 1 species